rnacentral:lncRNA from 1 species
AAAGCGAAGGCUUAGUCCUAUGGAUGAAUUAAUCAGACUUGCUACGAUAAGCAUCGAUAACGAGCUGAGAAUGGAAACGCGAACAAAGUGUUCGUAGAGACUGAUGUGGAGAAAUCAGUAUAGUAUAAAAUGAAAUUGAGAAACUGUAGAAUAGUAUUGGAAUUUAUCUCCAUCCGUUAAGUAAUGAGGAAUAAAAUGUAUCUAAGUUUCGCGGACGAAACUUUUGUUAACGGGAGGAGAAUGUAACAUAUGGAAAUUUGGAGUUGCGAUGUCAACUUUGAUCUCGGGGAUCAAAGUGAGGAUUGAGCUAGUUG